rnacentral:rRNA from 1 species
GGGUUGUGAGGUUAAGCGACUAAGCGUACACGGUGGAUGCCCUGGCAGUCAGAGGCGAUGAAGGACGUGCUAAUCUGCGAUAAGCGUCGGUGAGGUGAUAUGAACCGUUAUAACCGGCGAUUUCCGAAUGGGGAAACCCAGUGUGAUUCGUCACACUAUCAUUAACUGAAUCCAUAGGUUAAUGAGGCGAACCGGGGGAACUGAAACAUCUAAGUACCCCGAGGAAAAGAAAUCAACCGAGAUUCCCCCAGUAGCGGCGAGCGAACGGGGAGCAGCCCAGAGCCUGAAUCAGUGUGUGUGUUAGUGGAAGCGUCUGGAAAGGCGCGCGAUACAGGGUGACAGCCCCGUACACAAAAAUGCACAUACUGUGAGCUCGAUGAGUAGGGCGGGACACGUGGUAUCCUGUCUGAAUAUGGGGGGACCAUCCUCCAAGGCUAAAUACUCCUGACUGACCGAUAGUGAACCAGUACCGUGAGGGAAAGGCGAAAAGAACCCCGGCGAGGGGAGUGAAAAAGAACCUGAAACCGUGUACGUACAAGCAGUGGGAGCACGCUUCGGCGUGUGACUGCGUACCUUUUGUAUAAUGGGUCAGCGACUUAUAUUCUGUAGCAAGGUUAACCGAAUAGGGGAGCCGAAGGGAAACCGAGUCUUAACUGGGCGUUAAGUUGCAGGGUAUAGACCCGAAACCCGGUGAUCUAGCCAUGGGCAGGUUGAAGGUUGGGUAACACUAACUGGAGGACCGAACCGACUAAUGUUGAAAAAUUAGCGGAUGACUUGUGGCUGGGGGUGAAAGGCCAAUCAAACCGGGAGAUAGCUGGUUCUCCCCGAAAGCUAUUUAGGUAGCGCCUCGUGAAUUCAUCUCCGGGGGUAGAGCACUGUUUCGGCAAGGGGGUCAUCCCGACUUACCAACCCGAUGCAAACUGCGAAUACCGGAGAAUGUUAUCACGGGAGACACACGGCGGGUGCUAACGUCCGUCGUGAAGAGGGAAACAACCCAGACCGCCAGCUAAGGUCCCAAAGUCAUGGUUAAGUGGGAAACGAUGUGGGAAGGCCCAGACAGCCAGGAUGUUGGCUUAGAAGCAGCCAUCAUUUAAAGAAAGCGUAAUAGCUCACUGGUCGAGUCGGCCUGCGCGGAAGAUGUAACGGGGCUAAACCAUGCACCGAAGCUGCGGCAGCGACACUAUGUGUUGUUGGGUAGGGGAGCGUUCUGUAAGCCUGCGAAGGUGUACUGUGAGGUAUGCUGGAGGUAUCAGAAGUGCGAAUGCUGACAUAAGUAACGAUAAAGCGGGUGAAAAGCCCGCUCGCCGGAAGACCAAGGGUUCCUGUCCAACGUUAAUCGGGGCAGGGUGAGUCGACCCCUAAGGCGAGGCCGAAAGGCGUAGUCGAUGGGAAACAGGUUAAUAUUCCUGUACUUGGUGUUACUGCGAAGGGGGGACGGAGAAGGCUAUGUUGGCCGGGCGACGGUUGUCCCGGUUUAAGCGUGUAGGCUGAUUUUCCAGGCAAAUCCGGAGAAUCAAGGCUGAGGCGUGAUGACGAGGCACUACGGUGCUGAAGCAACAAAUGCCCUGCUUCCAGGAAAAGCCUCUAAGCAUCAGGUAACAUCAAAUCGUACCCCAAACCGACACAGGUGGUCAGGUAGAGAAUACCAAGGCGCUUGAGAGAACUCGGGUGAAGGAACUAGGCAAAAUGGUGCCGUAACUUCGGGAGAAGGCACGCUGAUACGUAGGUGAAGUCCCUCGCGGAUGGAGCUGAAAUCAGUCGAAGAUACCAGCUGGCUGCAACUGUUUAUUAAAAACACAGCACUGUGCAAACACGAAAGUGGACGUAUACGGUGUGACGCCUGCCCGGUGCCGGAAGGUUAAUUGAUGGGGUCAGCGCAAGCGAAGCUCUUGAUCGAAGCCCCGGUAAACGGCGGCCGUAACUAUAACGGUCCUAAGGUAGCGAAAUUCCUUGUCGGGUAAGUUCCGACCUGCACGAAUGGCGUAAUGAUGGCCAGGCUGUCUCCACCCGAGACUCAGUGAAAUUGAACUCGCUGUGAAGAUGCAGUGUACCCGCGGCAAGACGGAAAGACCCCGUGAACCUUUACUAUAGCUUGACACUGAACAUUGAGCCUUGAUGUGUAGGAUAGGUGGGAGGCUUUGAAGUGUGGACGCCAGUCUGCAUGGAGCCGGCCUUGAAAUACCACCCUUUAAUGUUUGAUGUUCUAACGUAGACCCGUGAUCCGGGUUGCGGACAGUGUCUGGUGGGUAGUUUGACUGGGGCGGUCUCCUCCUAAAGAGUAACGGAGGAGCACGAAGGUUGGCUAAUCCUGGUCGGACAUCAGGAGGUUAGUGCAAUGGCAUAAGCCAGCUUGACUGCGAGCGUGACGGCGCGAGCAGGUGCGAAAGCAGGUCAUAGUGAUCCGGUGGUUCUGAAUGGAAGGGCCAUCGCUCAACGGAUAAAAGGUACUCCGGGGAUAACAGGCUGAUACCGCCCAAGAGUUCAUAUCGACGGCGGUGUUUGGCACCUCGAUGUCGGCUCAUCACAUCCUGGGGCUGAAGUAGGUCCCAAGGGUAUGGCUGUUCGCCAUUUAAAGUGGUACGCGAGCUGGGUUUAGAACGUCGUGAGACAGUUCGGUCCCUAUCUGCCGUGGGCGCUGGAGAACUGAGGGGGGCUGCUCCUAGUACGAGAGGACCGGAGUGGACGCAUCACUGGUGUUCGGGUUGUCAUGCCAAUGGCACUGCCCGGUAGCUAAAUGCGGAAGAGAUAAGUGCUGAAAGCAUCUAAGCACGAAACUUGCCCCGAGAUGAGUUCUCCCUGACCCUUUAAGGGUCCUGAAGGAACGUUGAAGACGACGACGUUGAUAGGCCGGGUGUGUAAGCGCAGCGAUGCGUUGAGCUAACCGGUACUAAUGAACCGUGAGGCUUAACCUUACAACGCCGAAGGUGUUU